rnacentral:rRNA from 1 species
UACGAAGGGGGCUAGCGUUGUUCGGAAUUACUGGGCGUAAAGCGCACGUAGGCGGAUUGUUAAGUUAGGGGUGAAAUCCCGGGGCUCAACCCCGGAACUGCCUUUAAUACUGGCAAUCUCGAGUCCGAGAGAGGUGAGUGGAAUUCCGAGUGUAGAGGUGAAAUUCGUAGAUAUUCGGAGGAACACCAGUGGCGAAGGCGACAUCCUGGACCGGUAUUGACGCUGAGGGCGCGAAAAGCCAGGGGGAGCAAAGCGGGG